rnacentral:lncRNA from 1 species
GUCGGCUAGAAAACCCAAUUGAGGGUCGGGAGAGUUCCCUCGAUUCCUACGCAACCAGAUAUCUAGGUUCGGGGACUUGGAUUACGCUAAUAUUUCUAUUAACGCCAUUUCGGUACCUAAACGGUAUGUUGUGUUUUUUCCUAAUAUGUCAAUGCGUUUCUUUUUAUAUUUUCAGGAUCGUUAUUUCUAGACUAAGUGAUCAUGCGUGAUGGAUUACUUUCAUUCUAUUUUAUUCUAUUCUAUUCCUAAGAAAUGAAAGGAAAACAAUCAAUGAAAAUGAAAUUGCAAGACAUG